GUGGCAUUUCUGGCUAAGCCGUUAGGCGCGAAUUUUCUGUGUCCAGAAAACACAGGGCACGUUACCCGGUAUCGUGGUCUACACCUCGCCCACAAAUCCAUCCCAGGCUGUAUCCUCAUGGAAGCUUUUUCCAGAUGUGCUUGAGGGUUAAGAUCGCAAUGUGCAAGAAGAAAAAGUGCACAUUGGAAAACCUUCUCUUCGGAGAUAUCUAUAUCUAUAUUUAUAUAUAUUUACAGAUAUGGAGAUAUAUACACACACGUAUCUGAAAACAUUCUGACGUUUUAAAAACGGAGCACCAGAGGAGGGGGACUUCAUCUGACUUGUUCAGCACUGUCUCCCAGGCCCUGGCACAGAGGGAGCACUCGAUACACACCGAUGGGCUGAAGGUGUGAAUGGAUCUGGGGACUAGAGUGAUGGUUAUUUGGCAGACAGCAUGCCCCGCCUGGGCAGUAGCCGUGAAGACUCUUCUUUUCCUCUCCUCGCCUGCACUCUUUAGGAUUGAACAGCAUUGGUUCAAUGCAUAUUCUGGGAGCACAGAGAAAAAAGGGAUCAAGUUCCACCAUUAUGCAAAAGGGACUCCUGUAAGCCAGACCCUGAGCCGUUGUCAAAACACAGCUUAAUCCCCAUUCCCUGGGCCCGAGACCCUGCAGCCCCCACGCUGCCCGGCUUCCGGUCUUACCUGGGGCAACCUGACCAACAAGAACGCGGAAGGCCAGGAGCCAAAAACAGAGACUCCUGAUGGGUAACAGAAGGAAAAGGCAGGACAUCCCAGUGCUAAGGAGAGUGACCUCAGACACCAGAGACACAGCAAGUGCAGCAGAGCUGACGGCUCUGGGAACACUGGUCUUCAAAGUCUUCCCCGUUGUUGGUUUUGUUGUCUUUAUUUACAAAUAAAGUAAAUAUUUCUUAUUUAUAGAUAACAUUUUAUUUAUAAAAAUAAUAUACGUGUUGCAAAAAGUUAAAACAAUACUGAUGUGUAGCAGCAGAAAAGGAAAGUUGUCUUGAAUCCUAUUUCUCAUGGAUAAACAGAUUGCUAACAAUUGGGUUUCUCUCAGUUAAUGACAUUCUCUUCUACACACAUAAAGGUAUCUAUUCAUGUACACUUCAAUACUUACAGAUUGUAAAAAGGAAACACUUUGUA
rnacentral:lncRNA from 1 species